rnacentral:rRNA from 1 species
UGGGGAAUUUUGGACAAUGGGCGAAAGCCUGAUCCAGCAAUGCCGCGUGUGUGAAGAAGGCCUUCGGGUUGUAAAGCACUUUUGUCCGGAAAGAAAUCCUUGGCUCUAAUACAGUCGGGGGAUGACGGUACCGGAAGAAUAAGCACCGGCUAACUACGUGCCAGCAGCCGCGGUAAUACGUAGGGUGCAAGCGUUAAUCGGAAUUACUGGGCGUAAAGCGUGCGCAGGCGGUUUGCUAAGACCGAUGUGAAAUCCCCGGGCUCAACCUGGGAACUGCAUUGGUGACUGGCAGGCUAGAGUAUGGCAGAGGGGGGUAGAAUUCCACGUGUAGCAGUGAAAAUGCGUAGAGAUGUGGAGGAAUACCGAUGGCGAAGGCAGCCCCCUGGGCCAAUACUGACGCUCAUGCACGAAAAGCGUGGGGAGCAAACAGGAUUAGAUACCCUGGUAGUCCCACGCCCUAAACGAUGUCAACUAGUUGUUGGGGAUUCAUUUCCUUAGUAACGUAGCUAACGCGUGGAGUUGACCGCCUGGGGAGUACGGUCGCAAGAUU